AAAAGUUGCAAUGAAGGAAAAAAGUGUUUGGCCGAUAAAUAAGUGGUGAAAUUAAAAUACAUAUUUUUUGGUAACAUACAUAGGUUCCAAGAACGGUCGGGUCUGCGUCCCGGAGCCACUCGUCAAUCACGGCAACCAAGUGCCAUUCAACGGGUUACUUCAACAACAACGGGUUACCUAAUUUGUUGUUACUUAAGAAUAAGAUGCACAAGACACGGAAGUUUAUUUAAUAGAGUUUUACUGUGAAAGAAGAUUGUUCAUCACUUUUGGCAAUCAAUAUAGAACUGAAAACAAAUUUGUCUACUCAAAUAUUAUCGACUUCAAAAUGGAUAUCUGCGAAUGGUAACGUUAUUUACAACGAUAUAAUCAAUAUAUGGAGUUUAUGUGAUAUGCCGAUAAUGCAAUCACAUCCAAGCAGUUUUGGAGUGCUUACCCACUCGAUCUAUGCUGUAUUUAGUAAGAUAUACAUAUUGACGACAUAUAGAGAGCGGAAACA